rnacentral:rRNA from 1 species
GACGAACGCUGGCGGCGUGCCUAAUACAUGCAAGUAGAACGCUGAAGGAGGAGCUUGCUUCUCUGGAUGAGUUGCGAACGGGUGAGUAACGCGUAGGUAACCUGCCUGGUAGCGGGGGAUAACUAUUGGAAACGAUAGCUAAUACCGCAUAAUAGCAGUUGUUGCAUGACAACUGUUUGAAAGGUGCAAUUGCACCACUACCAGAUGGACCUGCGUUGUAUUAGCUAGUUGGUGGGGUAACGGCUCACCAAGGCGACGAUACAUAGCCGACCUGAGAGGGUGAUCGGCCACACUGGGACUGAGACACGGCCCAGACUCCUACGGGAGGCAGCAGUAGGGAAUCUUCGGCAAUGGACGGAAGUCUGACCGAGCAACGCCGCGUGAAUGAAGAAGGUUUUCGGAUCGUAAAGCUCUGUUGUAAGAGAAGAACGAGUGUGAGAGUGGAAAGUUCACACUGUGACGGUAUCUUACCAGAAAGGGACGGCUAACUACGUG